GACGAACGCUGGCGGCGUGCCUAAUACAUGCAAGUCGAGCGGAUGGAAGGAAGCUUGCUUCCUAAAGUCAGCGGCGGACGGGUGAGUAACACGUGGGCAACCUGCCCCUAAGAUCGGGAUAACUUCGGGAAACCGGAGCUAAUACCGGAUAUGAUUACGUCUCACAUGGGACGUAAUGGAAAGACGGUUUCGGCUGUCACUUAGGGAUGGGCCCGCGGCGCUUUAGCUAGUUGGUGAGGUAACGGCUCACCAAGGCGACGAUGCGUAGCCGACCUGAGCGGGUGAUCGGCCACACUGGGACUGAGAAACGGCCCAGACUCCUACGGGAGGCAGCAGUAGGGAAUCUUCCGCAAUGGACGAAAGUCUGACGGAGCAACGCCGCGUGAGUGAUGAAGGUUUUCGGAUCGUAAAACUCUGUUGUUAGGGAAGAACAAGUACCAUAGUAACUGAUGGUACCUUGACGGUACCUAACCAGAAAGCCACGGCUAACUACGUGCCAGCCGCCGCGGUAA
rnacentral:rRNA from 1 species